GCCUUAUCUUUUUUGAUCCGGACGGAUGAGGGGUGCGUGCGUGCGUGGGUGGUAGUGGGGGGCCGGAGAGAAGGUGGUGUGCGGUGGGGAAAGAGGGGCGCGGGGCAGGUGUCGGGCACCGGUGGUGGAGGAUGGUGCGGCGGCCCGACCGGUGGAGGGUGGUGCGGUGGCCUGGUCGGUGGAGGGUGGCGCGCCGGCCGGUGGGGGUGGUGCGUCGGCCGGUGGUGGAGGGUGGCGCGGCAGCCCGGUGGUGGAGGUUAGCGGCCGGUGGCGGUGGGGACGGGUGGCGUUGGUGGAGGGCCGCCGCCUAGGACCGACCGUUGGCGGGGUCGCGCGGAGGGGCACCACCUAGACCCGGGACGCGGAGGUAGCGGGUGGCGUAGGCCGGUGGUGGUCGGGGGUUCCGUCGAAGUUGGUGGGCUAUGCCGGGGAUCACGCAGAAGUUGGCGGCCUAGGCCGGAGGUGGUCGGGGGCCGCACCGAAAGUUGUUGACUAGGCCGACAACUGAGGGGCACUGGAGCAGAGGGAGCAGCGCGGGGAUGGAAGCGGAGGGAGGAGGCUGGGGUCCGGCCUAGACGGCGGUUAGGCGCAAAGGGCAGCUGGUAAAGGAAAGGGUGGCGGUGGAGCUGGAAAGGGACCUGCCCAGCAACGUCCGUGACGGAUGCCGGGCUGUAGCGCGCGUAGGUCCCUACCCCAGUUAACGUCGAGCCGACCGGGAGGUAACGUCAAGCCGACCCACGGGUCACUACUAAAAAACACAGAUAGCCGUAGUUUGCUACGGGGCUCGACCUCAACUUCCAGUUGCCGCCGUUGCUGCGUGGCACGUUAAGUCUUUUAGAACGUACGUAGAUACCUCAAGUUUGUUGCGUGUUCGCACGCUCACACCAAGGUUUCCUUGUCAGGUGUAGUGGCUGCCGUCGUGGUGGUACUACAGUACGCUAAGCCAUCCAACACGGGACGUCAAGCCGUUAGCACAGGACCCAAGUGUGCACGCAGCCACGACGAGCCUCUACGUGCGGUACGCCUAGCCACAAAGCUCGCGCGCUCGCCCAGACUGUGUUGAACGGCUGCUGCUGGUACGUCCGAAGAGUCCAGUACCAGGUUACGCUACAAAACGGAAAGCGGCCAUGAGUGAAGUCACAAACUCUUCUUUUUUUAGCCAACCGUAAAUCGGACACGCAAAGAAAACACCAAGUACCGGAGGCGUGCAACAUGAGUACGUACAUCAACAAGUUGGACGCACCCUCACACCAGCUACUGACAAGGUACACUAUACAUAGAUUAAACACAAGGAGUACAAGAACAUUCCAAGUGGAGAUCUACCGCACGCCAGGUCCAGCGGCGAGCUACGUCAGGUGGUCGCUGCUCUCCGGUUGUUCCCAACACUUCGUCAAGAAAUCCGCGCGCGCACGUCGGGUCUUUUAGGUCCCCAGGACUAACGAAAGUCAAGUGAGUCAUUUUUUCUUUUUCACCGUGGACGUCGAGUGAAAAUAGUUAAAAACCAAACAACAUUCGCCGGGGCUAAGCAAGGUACACAGAAGAAACGUCUAGUGACAAAACGAAAAAAACGUCCGCUGGGGCUAAGUAAGCUACGGUCGACGGACCAGCCUCGAGGAGGUGGCAAGUGGAGGAGGAGACGUAGGGGACGUCAAGUGAGGUCACCAAUUGCUACUACGUAACCGUCCCCCGUCUACGUCACGCCGUCCCGUCACGUACAUCACGCCAUCGCGGCGUGUACGUCACGCCACGAGUGCCGGCACGCACCGGCGAUGCCAACCGGCGCGCUCGGUGAGGGACCCUGAACUAACGAAAGAAAGAAAAAACCAACUUCCCUUCAAGGUGUUUUAAAUCAAACGUCGUCGUACCAAGCCGUGUCUCACGUUAAGCCACCGCGCCCGCCGCAAAAACAGAAGAUAAACAUAUCUUUUUUCAAAGUAGAGAGAGCAGUCCGUGUUCAUCGUAUAAAAUAAAGCUUAUACGUCAAGUCCUUUUACCAGAGAGGACCAGAGAUGGCUGGAGGGUCCAACGGUAACCGGUAAAACCGCUGAAACAUCCACAUCAUACGGGGACUCCACACUACAUCACGUCGUGCCGAUCAGGAGUUAACGACAAGCCGACCACUGUCACAACUAAAACACACAUACAACACACACACAGACAUUUUUAUUUGUUUUAUAUAUAUACAAAACUUCGAGUGAAACAAAAGAAUGAACCAAGG
rnacentral:rRNA from 1 species